CAUGUGAUGACUGAUUGACACGGGGCAGAGGAACCUCAUAAUCUCAGCCCCACGAGGACCAACUCUGAUGGGCUGUUGCAGCUCAGAGGCCUUCAUGGAGUCAUCCUCUCUCUUUGUCGACCCAGCUGCCUCCCUUCGUCCCUUCCAGAGUGACUGAUCCCAGAGAAAUUCCCUCACAAGUGUCCUGGGAGCUGAGUGCUUCUGCACCUGCCUCUCAGGGAAUCCACCCCAAGGCAAGCUUUGAUUAUCCUCUGGGUCUCCGUCACCACAGUGUGUAAGAUAUUACGUAGCCUCAUCUAUUGGUUGGUCUUUCGGUUACCUUUGUGUGGAUGAACGAUUCCUCUGCUGCUCCAUGGUUCACAUUUGACAGUGGUGUUGCCCAAGCCUCCCCGAUGUGCGUCACUGACCACAAAGGCGCAGAGCAAGGGACCGCACCAGCGGAGAGGAAGGAGACUGACUUGUUGACAUACAUGAGCCAGCCCAGCGCAGAAAGCCCCAAGUAGAUAAACCAGAGGCCACGAGUCAUGUACCAAAGGGCAGUCCACUGAGAGGUCCUCCUGCACACCCAAGGAAACAAGACCGAUGGAACAGGUGACACACCUGUGUGACACUUCUGGUGACCCACGCCCCGAAAACAGACUGUGAGUGAGGCAUGGCCUUUACCUAAAGGACCGUUACAGUCUCUCUGUGAGAAUGCAAGGCACAACUCUAGAUGCUAAUCUGAAUGAUAUAACAUUAACAAUCGUGAAUACGGAUGAGUAAAUUCUGCAAGGACCGAGUCCACGCCUGAUCUGUUUGGCACUUUUUUUUUAAUCAUAAAGGCUCUUUGACUAAGAACAUUCUUUAAGCUACAAGUCUAUAUGCUAAACUUAAAUAUAGUAGUUAGUUGGAGUGGAAUUUUGCCUGUAACAGCUGCGAAUGAUUAACUUACCCACAGCUCAUGAUUAAUGAAUGAAAUAGUAGCCCUGUAUAUUAAUAUCUGUCCUGUAACAACGGCAUCGAAUGACAUCAAUUAAACUUGUGCACGCAUUUUCUCCAGUGUCGUUUGUAACAAAUUCUAGUACACACAGCAAGAAAAAAUCAUACACGUUAAGGGAAUUGUGUGUAUUUACAUUACAUGGGACAAAUAAAUAGUUAACAUUUCGCA
rnacentral:lncRNA from 1 species